GCCAGCAUAAGCAGCCGCGGCGGCAGUAGCAACACGAAGGAUUCGCCAGAGAGGAGACAAAUGAUUAUUAGUUGCGUUGAGUCAUCAGGCAAAGAAGAAUUGACCAUAACGAAGUUAUAGAUGCUAUAAGAAUGUUAUGAUACGUUAAAACUGCAAGAAUUAGAUGGUGAAUUGUUAAGCAAUAGGUAUGGCUUAACUUAUUUAACUAUGAGCGAAAAAUGCAUCCAUGCUGGAGGAUACCACCACUGUUCAAAAAAAAAGCCACAUGAAAAAGUGCUGCUGAGUUUUGUCCAAACCAGUCCUUUAGGUUUUGAAGCCAUGAUGUUCUUCUUCUGCCUGGACCUCG